AAGAACCUGUACACAUAGAGAGGGAGAGCGCGAGCGCUGCGCGUGAGAGGACAGAGCUCAUCAGCGGGAAUGGCGGAGACCGUUCGCUCGCUCUUUGACUACCGGGAGCCGCCGACGCUGGACAGCGACGGAGAGAGCAGCAAACCGCCGCCGCCGCGAGGACGUGGCUGUGGAAGAAAAAGGAAAGGGACACCAGUGAAAGUGUGCGACAGAGUCUUUGCCACAGAGGAUGAGGAAGAGAGCAUGUCAGAAAACAGCUAUGGACCAGAGAAAGGUGAUGGUCGUGAGAACAAACAUGAAGUCCCUGCUGCUGAUGGACCAUACUAUGAAACACAAUCUGCUCAGCUCUGUGUGAGUGAGGAGGGCUCUAGCGGAGUGAGGGGGGCUGUCUCGUACCCCCCAACACCAAACUGCCGCAUUCGUGAAGUGCACUGUGGAAAUCAAGUGCGACUGAUUGUCAUAGCGAUCCGCGACAUCGCUAAGGGGGAGGAGAUCACUGUGGAUUACAGUUUGACGGAGUGGGGAGAAAACGUUGCAGGUUUCCAUGGCACUGUGACUCCUAGUAGCUUUGAUUGCAGCUCAGACCACGAGAGCAACAUUAAAAAGGAGGAAGAGUCCAGCGCAGUUCCAGUUUCUGUGUCGGAAUACCUCACACCUUCCUGGUCUCUCUCUCCUUCAUCCUCUCCUCUCUCUCACUCUGAGCCCAGUGAUUCAGACCUCGACUCGGAUGAUGCCAAUGGAGAGAUGCGCAUGCGAACACCUCACCACCGCAAGAGGCACAAAGCCCUCUCCUCUCCUGCUGCACAUGCCAAGAGAAAGGCACCUCAGCGACCCCCCAACCAUCCUCCCUCAUUUCCACUUUCCAUCCCAACCUCCCUGCUGCAGCCCACUGCUUCUUCCAGACCUGUGUUUAAGUGCCCACGGCCUGCAGGAGUUCCUUCUAAUAGUGUUAGUGUGUCAGUGGGUCGUGGGCAGAGCACAAUGGCACAGAAACAGCGCUGUGUUUACUGUGGCCGUCAUUUCCGAUCUCUCCCACGCCAUCUGAACAAACACCACGCCCAACAGCCUGACGUGCGCACUGCCCUGGAGCAAGCGCACGCCUCUGAUAACUCUCAUUGUGUACACUCAUCUCUCCCAUCAUCAAGCAAACAUUCCCAAUGCCCCCAAGUGGCUCGUGUGCCAGGUGUAGUGGUGGAAACGCCACAGUCACCUCCUCUUCUUCUUUGUCUCCAGUCAGAAGGAGCCCUGCACUCUCUAGCCCUAGUCGCAAAAGUCCUGCCCCAGCCCUGACAACUCCGCCUAGAGGUGGAGGUGUUCCAGUAUCUGUGUUAAAGAGGAGCCCACCUACACCUGCUACUCCUCCCAGAAAAGGAGGACGAAAAAUUAAAAAGGAGAAAGAGGAGGUAGACGUUUUUGAGAAGACGAAAGAGGUAGUGCCCAUUUCAGUGUUUGCAGAGCAUGUGAAGCUGUCAGAAUCUUCGAAAGAAGAGAGAGAUGACAAUGGAGGGAGAGAAGAAGAAAGCGGAGCGGAGGAUAAGACCGACCUAUCAAGUUCACGUCGACCCCACAUGCUUCCACUUCUUGCCUCCCUCUCUUCCCUGGUGUUGUAUCUGCGGCGGCUGCAGCAUUCCGCCUUCAUUUCUCUCUCCCGCUCGCCACAGUCAGCUGAGGCCUGGCGUCUCCUCUGUCACUCCAGCCUGGCCCUUCUCAUCCUUUACAACCGCCGGCGUGAAUGUGAAGUCUCCAAACUCACCAUUUCCGAGUAUCAGGUCCGCGUCACACCCCAGUACCCCAUCCCCAUGGCACCUGGUGCCCCACCAACUCUAACCCCACUCGAGGCCUCACUCUCACCAUUCGAGCGGAUGGUCCUCCCCCAUCUCCCUCGCGUCGGGGUCCAAGGGAAACGUGGCCGCGUGCAGCCGCUCAUCCUCCCGCCACAUUCUGAGGCCUGUCUGGAGAUGCUUUUGCAGACUCGUGCUGGUGUGGGAAUCGAUCCACAGAACCCCUACGUGUUUGCCCGGCCGUAUCAUUCGCCUGCUACUCCCCUGCGAGGGACAGACUUACUACGCAGCUUGGCUCGGUCCAGUGGUACACGGCACCCACGGGCACUGACGCAGACACGUGUUCGCCGACAGGUGGCGAUACUUACACAGCUCCUGUUGUUGAGUGAGGGCGAGGAGGAAGGGCACCGCGGGGCUGCCACACAGCGAUUGGAAAGCUUUUUGCAGAAAGAGUAUCAUGUAACACAAAGCUGUGCAACCAUCGGCCAAGACCCAGGGCUGAUGGGUCUGAUUGGUCGGGUGGUACUAUGUGGAGAGAGAGAUGGCGUCUUGUUCCGAGGAAUGAGUUUACAUCACAUCUGUCUGGAGUUAGAUGUGUUGUCAGGAAACUCUGCUGACUCUCUGUCAGAGGAGUCGGAUGCUGAGCAGAGUAAAGAGAAACCAGAAGCACCAUCUCCUGCAACCACCAUUAUGAUGAAGAAAACCACAAGCAACAGCAAAUCCCCCCGGCCUAAGAAAAUGAACAGCAGCUCCCUGAUCUCAACGGGACGUAAAAAGACCUCAGGACAGCCCAAGCCUGGUAAACGUGGUGUGCUAAAGCGGCCUUGGUCUGAGGCAGAGCGGGCAGCUGUUGAGUCCCACCUGGUGCAAAACAUUAUGGAGCUUCGUGUGCCCGCCAAAGCAGACUGUGAGCGCUGCCUGGAGCUCUGCCCCCUGUUGGUCACUAACCACCGGGACUGGAGGGCUGUUAAGUUCUACUGCCACAACCGUAUACAGCUGCUCAAGAAAACCCAGCAAAGGCAGAGUCCACCCACCCUGUCCGUCUGCUGAGGCUGUGAAUCAGCACGCUGCUGGGAAGGGUCAACCAAUAACAGCAGAUACAUAAGGGAGGGAAUGUGAGGAGGUGAAAAUAUUUACAUGGUACAGUCACAGUAAACAGUGCAAAUGCUUUAAUUAAUGUGUUGUAAGUGAUUAGUGUCUAGUGUCUGAAAUGGGAAAUGGUACCACUCUGGGAAGCAGACAGAAAUGCACACUUGUCUUGUGUACUUUUCCAAAAUACGAAAACAAAACUUUUUUUUUUUUUUGUCUGCACAUUUCCAGUUUCUGUUGCUGGCUUGAAAGUAGAUGAACAUUUUUGACCAGCUGAAAGUCUGAAUGGAUUUGCUCUCCCUUUGGCUAUGCCUACAUUUCACUAAUGAAUGAGAAUAAGGCAGACUGAGCAAACUGUGCCUUUAUGGGAGUCAAACUUUAUUCAUAUUUUAUUCACAUUUGUAGUGACCACUUUUCUGCUACAUGCAGAUACUAUAAGGUUUCAUGAAAUGAAGAAAUAUGCAUAAGAAAUAGAGGAUAAAAAGAUUAUCAUCCAUUUUUGUCUACCAUCUUUGCUCAUUAAAAUUACAAAGGUCCCAUUGAAACUAACUUAAAUUAAAUUUCAUUUAAACAGUUAACAAACAUAAUUCCCAUUUUGGGGGAAUUUCAUAAAUCUCAUUCCAUAAUUGAACAUUAACGUUUUUCCACAUUUUUAUGUUCUUAUUAUUUCAAGCCUUAUUUGAUUUUAAAUAAAUAGUUUAAAUAAAUGUCAUAAUUUGCUCAUGUCAAACCAGUAUGACAUUCCUUAUUCAGUAGAACACAAGCUGAGAAAUUUUUGAAUGUAUUGGUCUUUUUUUUUUACCAUGCAAUUAUAAUUAAUAAAUGCAUUUACAAUUAAAAAUAUCAUAUGGAUCACUUUUUAAUGCUUAUGCAUAAUUAAUCAUAAUUGCAAGAACAAAAAUGACCAGGAAUUUCUCCUUUUGUGUUCCACAAAAGAAAGUCAUACUUGUUUGGAACAACAUGAGAGUAAGGGUUUAUUUUUAGGUGAACUGUUCUAUUUAUUUCAGUCUGUUUAUCUGUUCACAUUAUUGAAGAAAUCUGAUCUUUUCCUCUGGAUAGUUCAGUUUUCCAUAUAUUUCACUGCAGAUAUUGAUUAGCUUGUUCAGCAUUGAAAAAUGAGCAUCUCUCUGUACUGUAUCUCUAAAUGGACAUAAAUGGAUGAGCAGAUGAGUUUACUUGUUUGCUUUAUAUUAAUCCAUCAAAUCCAUAUCAAAACUUAAACUGUGUAUUGUAAACACGAUAACCACACGUAACACCUCAGUUUAUACUUUUUAUAUCUAUAUCUCGCUGUUUUGUUAUCUGUCCUUUCAGACUUUGCAGUGUAUAUAUGUAAACACAUGUCGUUGCUAUUAGUAGUGGUAUUGUUAUUACUAUUAAAUCUUACUGUGGCAAGUGUUUUUCAUUUCCACUUCAUGUACAUACUAAUUGAAUGUAAAUAUUUGCAGAAAAAAAAACGAGCACGAUGUAAAUACAUUGUACGCAAGAAAAGCUUGUUUUUGUGUCGUCUGUGUGUUUUUCUAAGUUGUUUGAAAUAAUAAAAAUGUUUUGUUUGUAA